rnacentral:rRNA from 1 species
CCUUUGUACACACCGCCCGUCGCUACUACCGAUUGAAUGGCUCAGUGAGGCCUUGGGACUGGCUCAGAGAGGUCGGCAACGACCACUCAGAGCCGGAAAGUUAUCCAAACUCGGUCAUUUAGAGG